GGAAGGAUCAUUACCGAGUUUUCGAGCUCCGGCUCGACUCUCCCACCCUUUGUGAACGUACCUCUGUUGCUUUGGCGGCUCCGGCCGCCAAAGGACCUUCAAACUCCAGUCAGUAAACGCAGACGUCUGAUAAACAAGUUAAUAAACUAAAACUUUCAACAACGGAUCUCUUGGUUCUGGCAUCGAUGAAGAACGCAGCGAAAUGCGAUAAGUAAUGUGAAUUGCAGAAUUCAGUGAAUCAUCGAAUCUUUGAACGCACAUUGCGCCCCUUGGUAUUCCGGGGGGCAUGCCUGUUCGAGCGUCAUUACAACCCUCAAGCUCUGCUUGGAAUUGGGCACCGUCCUCACUGCGGACGCGCCUCAAAGACCUCGGCGGUGGCUGUUCAGCCCUCAAGCGUAGUAGAAUACACCUCGCUUUGGAGCGGUUGGCGUCGCCCGCCGGACGAACCUUCUGAACUUUUCUCAAGGUUGACCUCGGAU
rnacentral:rRNA from 1 species